UGGGGAAUAUUGGACAAUGGGCGAAAGCCUGAUCCAGCCAUGCCGCGUGUGUGAAGAAGGUCUUCGGAUUGUAAAGCACUUUAAGUUGGGAGGAAGGGCAUUAACCUAAUACGUUAGUGUUUUGACGUUACCGACAGAAUAAGCACCGGCUAACUCUGUGCCAGCAGCCGCGGUAAUACAGAGGGUGCAAGCGUUAAUCGGAAUUACUGGGCGUAAAGCGCGCGUAGGUGGUUUGUUAAGGUGGAGGUGAAAUCCCCGGGCUCAACCUGGGAACUGCAUUCAAAACUGACUGACUAGAGUAUGGUAGAGGGUGGUGGAAUUUCCUGUGUAGCGGUGAAAUGCGUAGAUAUAGGAAGGAACACCAGUGGCGAAGGCGAGCACCUGGACUAAUACUGACACUGAGGUGCGAAAGCGUGGGGAGCAAACA
rnacentral:rRNA from 1 species